rnacentral:rRNA from 1 species
UACCAGCACCCCGAGUGGUCGGGACGAUUAUUGGGCCUAAAGCAUCCGUAGCCGGUUUUACAAGUCCUCCGUUAAAUCCAGCUGCUUAACAGAUGGGCUGCGGAGGAUACUAUAAGACUAGGAGGCAGGAGAGGCAAGCGGUACUCAGUGGGUAGGGGUAAAAUCCGUUGAUCCAUUGAAGACCACCAGUGGCGAAGGCGGCUUGCCAGCAAUGCGCUCGACGGUGAGGGAUGAAAGCUGGGG